ACUCCCACAUUCUCUAUCACUCUCUUCCUCUCUCCUUCUAUUUCAAAAACAAAAAUAAAAAAAUUUCUUACACACUUUGUGUGUGCCCAUAUGCUAGUAAAUCUUUAUCUGUUUAAAAUUGUAACUAGAAGGGUUAAAACUAUAUUUGGACAAUAAUACACUUCUAACGACAUCUGACACGUACAUUUAAAAGUGUUUGUGGUCAUAGACGUAUUUUCUAGAUAAACACUUAUCAAGUUCUUUUUUACAUAAACACUUCUAUGAGCAAAAAAUACAGUAUACAAAAGAAAUUCAAACGGCCCUCUUUGUUGUAUAUUUAAUACAUAGAAUACAGUAUAAUUUGAAGUCGUUAAAUUCAAUAAUUGACGUUUAGGAGCUAAAAAUCUCGAUGAUAAAAUUAAGAAUUGUUAUUAGCAUUUUAAAAUUUUCAUUAUAACUUCUAAACUUUCUACAUUUAACAAAAAAAAAAAAAAUUAUUUAAAGUUCAAAAUAAAUUUUUUGAAAUGGUAAUAACAAUUUUCAUAAAAUUAAGAGCUUAAUUAGUAGAAGUCUCGCACAAACACGCGCAAUUUGAACUCAUUUUCCCUUUCAUCCACUUUCCAGAGAAACCGCACAUGUUGGCCGGCCCACCAUGUUCCCAUGUCCCAAAAAACCCACCCCUCCUUACUUCCCCCGUAUAUAAAUGUAGCACCGCCAACUGUUUCCGCAGCCUCCUUCCCCUCUCAAAACCUCACCCCACCUUCUCACAGAUCUUUGCCUAAUCCCUCUUAAUUUCCCUUUAUUUUCACCUAAUUUUCUUUUAAUUCAUAUUUAGCGGUCAAAAAAUGAACUCAAUCAGAUCCUGCGCUCUCCCAAUCAUUGGGUUCAUGUUCAUGGCGCUCCUCAGCCUCGGCUACGGCCAGCAGGCGCCAGCUCCUGCUCCCACCAGCGACGGCAUGGCGAUCGAUCAGGGAAUCGCUUACACGCUUAUGAUGGUGGCGCUUGCAAUUACGUACCUUAUGCAUUAAGAGAUUGAUUUUCUGAAAUUUUCUUGGGGCAGAAAAACCGAUUCAGAAAUCACAUUGAGCAUUAUUGUUGUACAUCUGGUGAUAUAUUAAAUUCUAUUUUUUUUUUUUUAAUUUUGUGUGUGUAUUUUUCUCCUCUUAUUCAGAUGGAGAAAUUUGCUUUGUAGUUCAAAUAUUAAUAUAAAUUAAUUUAUUAUUAUUAGCUCAA